GGAAGUGUGUCCGAGUGGCCGAAGGAGCUGGCUUGGAAAGCUAGUAAUAUCUAAUCAAUAUUCGGAGGUUCGAAUCCUCUCACUUCCGCCA
rnacentral:tRNA from 1 species